UCCGGUCUGUUGCCUUCAACAUCCAACGGGGAAAACCACGGUUAAGAUCUUCCUGAUCGGUCUUCAUCAAGCCGCAGCCCCUCCAUGGGUGGGACCCACUUGGACUGGACGGUCCUGAUCAGCCACUUCAUCUGGAACAUACCAAUCAAUCCGCCUAUAAAGCGGACGACUUGGACUGGUCUCCGAAAGGGCCGUUUGCCACCACAUCUCCAAUCAGGAGCCACGUAGCAUCUUAUGGGGCCCACGUGUCCCCUCCCAUGUACACGUGUCACACGAGGCCGAUGUGGCGUGAGGCUUAUGCCUCCUCCUUGCCUAUAAAAAGGGCAACACAACGAAAUUAACGCCAUCUCUUUAAAGCGCCAAGCCCAUGGAAACCACUUGUUUUCCGGCCAAUUCUCCGGAAAUCUGAUGAACUCAUGACCGUUAAACUUGCAAAAGAAUCCAGAGAUCCGAUAUCCUGUCCCGAUUUCCAGAAAUCUGCAGAGAUUCCGGCGAGCAGAUCCGCCAUGGAAACCGGCCAUCUUCAGAGAUUUACGGAUAUGGGAAGAUCCGACGAGAAAACAGCUGAUCGGCGAUCUUCGUCGUUCGUUCACUAUCAGGUGUUGAAGAUCAGAGAAGAAGAUUCGCAUCUCGGAGAGGACAUCGGCGAGGGUUUGAGUACGAGAGAAAAGCUCGCUUUCCUUAAACUCAGCUCGCAGAUGGACGCUCUGUUCUACUCGCGGCCGAUCUUGCCGUCUUCUCCUCUCGGCAAUAAAACAGCGAUCGAAUCGUUCCAGUGAGGAGAGGAGUUAUAAAGUCGAGAGAGGAGAAUGCGUAUUAAGGCUUCGGGAGCCUGAAUUCCCUAUCACUGGCGAUUUUCUGGCAUUUCUUUCUUUUCGUUUCUCCUUCCUUUGAAGUGCGAUGUUCUGAUCCAUCUCCUUCAUCUGUACAGAUAACAGACGGCAGCUUCCAACUAUGUUUAGUUUCAUGAA